rnacentral:rRNA from 1 species
UACGAAGGGGGCUAGCGUUGUUCGGAAUUACUGGGCGUAAAGCGCACGCAGGCGGCUGCGUAAGUCUGACGUGAAAUCUCCCGGCUUAACCGGGAGCGGUCGUUGGAAACUAUGCGGCUUGAGGCGAUGAGAGGGGUGUGGAAUUCCCGGUGUAGUGGUGGAAUGCGUAGAUAUCGGGAGGAACAUCAGUGGCGAAAGCGGCACCCUGGCAUUAGCCUGACGCUCAGGUGCGAAAGCGUGGGGAGCGAACGGG